rnacentral:rRNA from 1 species
CCUACGGGAGGCAGCAGUAGGGAAUCUUCCACAAUGGACGAAAGUCUGAUGGAGCAACGCCGCGUGAGUGAAGAAGGGUUUCGGCUCGUAAAGCUCUGUUGGUAGUGAAGAAAGAUAGAGGUAGUAACUGGCCGUUAGUUGACGGUAAGUACGUAGAAAGGCACGGCUAACUACGUGCCAGCAGCCGCGGUAAUACGUAGGUGGCAAGCGUUGUCCGGAUUUAUUGGGCGUAAAGCGAGUGCAGGCGGUUCAAUAAGUCUGAUGGGAAAGCCUUCGGCUCCACCGGAGAAUUGCAUCCGAAACUGUUGCACUUGAGUGCAGCAGAGGCGAGUGGCACUCCCUGUGUAGCGGUGCAAUGCGUAGAUAUAUGGAAGCACACCAGUGGCGAAGGCGGCUCUCUGGUCUGCAACUGACGCUGAGGCUC